rnacentral:tRNA from 1 species
UGGGAGGUCGUUCAACGGCAGGACACGCGGCUCUGGACCGCGGAAUCAGGGUUCGAAUCCCUGCCUCCCAGCCA